GAUGAACGCUGGCGGCGUGCCUAAUACAUGCAAGUCGAGCGAAUGGAUUGAGAGCUUGCUCUCAAGAAGUUAGCGGCGGACGGGUGAGUAACACGUGGGUAACCUGCCCAUAAGACUGGGAUAACUCCGGGAAACCGGGGCUAAUACCGGAUAACAUUUUGAACUGCAUGGUUCGAAAUUGAAAGGCGGCUUCGGCUGUCACUUAUGGAUGGACCCGCGUCGCAUUAGCUAGUUGGUGAGGUAACGGCUCACCAAGGCAACGAUGCGUAGCCGACCUGAGAGGGUGAUCGGCCACACUGGGACUGAGACACGGCCCAGACUCCUACGGGAGGCAGCAGUAGGGAAUCUUCCGCAAUGGACGAAAGUCUGACGGAGCAACGCCGCGUGAGUGAUGAAGGCUUUCGGGUCGUAAACUCUGUUGUUAGGGAAGAACAAGUGCUAGUUGAAUAAGCUGGCACCUUGACGGUACCUAA
rnacentral:rRNA from 1 species